rnacentral:rRNA from 1 species
AGAAUCAACGCUGGCGGCGUGCCUAACACAUGCAAGUCGCACGAGAAAGGGUAGCAAUACCUGAGUACAGUGGCGCACGGGUGAGUAACACGUGAAUAAUCUACCUCCGAGUGGGGAAUAACUGAGAGAAAUCUUAGCUAAUACCGCAUAACACUUACGAGUCAAAGCAGCAAUGCGCUUGGAGAGGAGUUCGCGGCAGAUUAGUUAGUUGGCGGGGUAAUGGCCCACCAAGACGAUGAUCUGUAUCCGGCCUGAGAGGGCGCACGGACACACUGGGAACUGAAACACGGUCCAGACUCCUACGGGAGGCAGCAGUGGGGAAUUUUGCGCAAUGGGGGAAACCCUGACGCAGCAACGCCGCGUGGAGGAUGAAAUAUCUUGGUAUGUAAACUCCUUUCGAUGGGGAAGAUUAUGACGGUACCCAUAGAAGAAGCCCCGGCUAACUUCGUGCCAGCAGCCGC